AAACCUUAUGGUAUAACCUAACUAUGGUAGAAGUUUCAUGUUUCUUUCAAAAAGUGCACAAUUCCCCUUGAUUUGAGGGCUUAACCGCUGUACUAGUAGGCUAUGAGCGAUGCAAAUAUUGAAA